rnacentral:pre_miRNA from 1 species
ACUGUGUGUGGAUGGCGUUCAGCAUUAAGGACAGGUGUGUUUCACUGUGUGUGGAUGGUGUUCAGCAUUAAGGACAGGUGUGUUUACCU